AGGACGAACGCUGGCGGCGUGCUUAACACAUGCAAGUCGAGCGGAAAGGCCCUUCGGGGUACUCGAGCGGCGAACGGGUGAGUAACACGUGAGCAACCUGCCCCUGACUCUGGGAUAAGCCUAGGAAACUGGGUCUAAUACCGGAUAGUACCCCCUGUUUCAUGGUGGGGGGUGGAAAGUUUUUCGGUUGGGGAUGGGCUCGCGGCCUAUCAGCUUGUUGGUGGGGUGAUGGCCUACCAAGGCGACGACGGGUAGCCGGCCUGAGAGGGCGACCGGCCACACUGGGACUGAGACACGGCCCAGACUCCUACGGGAGGCAGCAGUGGGGAAUAUUGCGCAAUGGGCGAAAGCCUGACGCAGCGACGCCGCGUGGGGGAUGAAGGCCUUCGGGUUGUAAACCCCUUUCAGCACCGACGAAGCGCGAGUGACGGUAGGUGCAGAAGAAGCGCCGGCUAACUACGUGCCAGCAGCCGC
rnacentral:rRNA from 1 species